rnacentral:rRNA from 1 species
UACGGAGGAUGCAAGCGUUAUCCGGAUUCAUUGGGUUUAAAGGGUGCGUAGGCGGGCUAUUAAGUCAGUGGUGAAAUCCUGCAGCUUAACUGCAGAACUGCCGUUGAUACUGAUAGUCUUGAGUUUGGUUAAGGUAGGCGGAAUGUGUAAUGUAGCGGUGAAAUGCUUAGAUAUUACACAGAAUAUCGAUUGCGAAGGCAGCUCACAAAGCCAAGAUUGACGCUGAGGCACGAAAGUGUGGGGAUCAAACAGGA